GACUGGAGGUGGGUCUCUACCCUGCCAUGCUCACUUCUAUCCAUUGGUGUCUCUUGCUGUGGAAUGAAUUAUUCCCUGAAUGACGAGGAGCUUGGGGGCCAGUAAAGGAAGGAGAGACAUGAAGGCCCACAGUGACAUUUUCUAUAUCCUGAGACCCACUGGUGACGCUAGCGAGUGAGAUCUCUUUUCCCACUGUCCAGAGAAUAGAAGACUUUCAAUGCCAGAUGAAAUAACGAGUUGGAUCGACACCCACUUUGGUGACCUGGUGAUGAGUUCAGCUCGUGCCCAGAUAAAAUGCGGAGGAUAUUUGAUAGAGAAACUCCCACACCUUUACCCUCGGUGGCUUAAAGUCUCUGUCUUAGGAGGCUGUGCUAUCCUCCUUUCAAGCAUUAUGUUCUUGAAUUCAGGCCACAACCCUGUGAGGAAGGUUCCUGUCUCGUUGUUUUCCUCCCAGUCCAAAUGA
rnacentral:lncRNA from 1 species